UACGUAGGGUGCAAGCGUUGUCCCGGAAUUAUUGGGCGUAAAGAGCUCGUAGGCGGUCUGUUGCGUCGGCUGUGAAAACCCGGGGCUCAACUCCGGGCCUGCAGCCGAUACGGGCAGACUAGAGUUCGGCAGGGGAGACUGGAAUUCCUGGUGUAGCGGUGAAAUGCGCAGAUAUCAGGAGGAACACCGGUGGCGAAGGCGGGUCUCUGGGCCGAUACUGACGCUGAGGAGCGAAAGCGUGGGGAGCGAACAGG
rnacentral:rRNA from 1 species